AACGAGGCCGACCUGCGGCUGAGUUACCUGCGGAGGGAUCAUUACUGAGUGUAAAAACUCCCAAACCCAUUGUGAACAUACCACUGUUGCUUCGGCGGAUACGCCCCGGGCGCGCUCUUCACAGGGCGUGCCCCGGAACCAGGCGCCCGCCGGGGGACCGAAACUCUUGUUUUCUUAGGAUCUCUGAGUGUGAUUAUUAAAUAAAUCAAAACUUUUAGCAAUGGAUCUCAGAUCGGAAGA
rnacentral:misc_RNA from 1 species